CUUUAAUUACGUCUAAUUCAUAAUGAACACACACUUGAAAAUUUGGAAGAAUAUAUUUUAACCUCAAUGAUUGACAGACACAAUGUUUAUGUUCAAAAUUGUUCUAUUCUUACUUCUGGUAAAAUGUCACGGAGAAGAAAAUUAUUUCAAGGUAUUGGGAAUAACCAGAAUAGCUAGCAAACGUGAAAUUAAAUCGGCGUAUAGAGCCAUUUCGAAAAGAAUACAUCCAGACAAAAACCAGGUAUGUAUCUAAUUUCGUCAAUUUUGAGUAUCGGCUUUAAUGUUUUAUUAAGACAUUUUAUACAAAACUCAUAACCAUCGAAUUGAUUCAUGCGUGUUUUAGAAUUUGUCCCACAAAAACAAUUUUUUUUAAAAGUACGAAUAAUUUUGGACCGGGCACCAUCUACAUGUAAUUAACCAGCGUCACGACCUCCGAAGUUUGGUAUGUAACCCCGAUAUAAAUAGAUAAAAUAACAUAUACAGAUAAGUAUGAACAGCAUACUAGUAUGAUUUUUUUUUAUUCAACAACAAUAUUGCACAUGCUGUUAACAGAUUCCUUCACUGGUACAGCUAUUUCAGUGGAGAUCCCUGUAUAUUAGUGCAUUUAGACCAUAUGGAAUAUUAUAAUGAUUAUUUUUGGUUGGAUUUAUUAUCAGAGAUAAACAAAAAACAAAACGUGUAUCAUCGUUUUAUAUAUAACCUGUCAAACAUCAAUUUCGUACGAGUUGAAAUAGUCAACGAAACUGGUAUUCCUGCUCAACCUUAUACCCCCGCCACACCAAACUUUUCUCAUUACGUUCUGAAAAUGUAGUGAAAGGGAAGUUAACUGUGUGAACACCCAAUAGAAGUAGUACAAACUAUUUAUGGUAAGAUCUGAUUUGAAAUGGCUCUAAAACUGCUCUAUUUUGUUUACUUAGAUGGAGUGGCAAUGUACUUAUGGACGUACUGCGAACGGAAUUGUAGUACUUGGGACGUUUUAUGAAGUGGUUUGGUCGGGCGGCAAUUUGAUUAAAUUCAGCAAAGAGACCGAGUUCGCUUGAAGCAUGUUCAUACCAUUGGCCCACAUACUCAAUGCCUCUUUAAUUCGUCUAAAUACGAUAAAACUAAUAAGAAAGUUGUUUUCCUAUCAAACAUAACGAUGUAUAAAUAUAUUAUCAUUGUUUCAGUGCGAUGCGUUUGCUGCUGAGAAAUUUAUUAAUUUAACUAAAGCAUAUGACACCCUUGUUGACGACGCAAGACGAAGCCGAUACAAAACACGAAACCCAUAUUUUGGACAUAAAAAGGAAGAAUAUGAAUGGAAUAUACCAGUAUGCCCAAAAGGGAAACCUCCUUCCAUAUGGGAAAGUAUCAAAGAAUUAUAUCCUGAUUAUGUCAAUGACUUAUUGUAUAUUUUGACGGACUGGCUGAGGAUGAAACUUGGGAAUACCCUUUCAGUAUUUAAUACUAUCAAUAUGAUAGAAUUACACCGUUUGCUCAACGAAAGGCAAACAACGACUAUGGCUGCAGUAUACUUAAGGCUUAUUUCGCUAAAAUCAACCGUCUAUACAUUGACAGAUAAUUUUAAGAGAGGUCGUUAUGAUGAUUUCCCUGAAUGGUUACGAAGAAUACUUAUCGA
rnacentral:lncRNA from 1 species